rnacentral:rRNA from 1 species
GAUGAACGCUGGCGGCGUGCCUAAUACAUGCAAGUCGAGCGAACAGACAAGGAGCUUGCUCCUCUAACGUUAGCGGCGGACGGGUGAGUAACACGUGGAUAACCUACCUAUAAGACUGGGAUAACUUCGGGAAACCGGAGCUAAUACCGGAUAAUAUAUUGAACCGCAUGGUUCAAUAGUGAAAGACGGUUUUGCUGUCACUUAUAGAUGGAUCCGCGCCGCAUUAGCUAGUUGGUAAGGUAACGGCUUACCAAGGCAACGAUGCGUAGCCGACCUGAGAGGGUGAUCGGCCACACUGGAACUGAGACACGGUCCAGACUCCUACGGGAGGCAGCAGUAGGGAAUCUUCCGCAAUGGGCGAAAGCUUGACGGAGCAACGCCGCGUGAGUGAUGAAGGUCUUCGGAUCGUAAAACUCUGUUAUUAGGGAAGAACAAAUGUGUAAGUAACUAUGCACGUCUUGACGGUACCUAAUCAGAAAGCCACGGCUAACUACGUG